UGGAAAUGAUGAAACAGAGAUAAUUGGGUGUUGAAUGUUGUAUGGUUGAAUAUUUUCAAUAAAUAAUUUGAUUAUUAGUCUAAUGUUUUAUGUAAUAGUGUGCAUGAGUGUGUGUGUGUGCGUGCAUGUGGGGGCUAUGGAAAGGGGGCACUGACUGGUGAUGCUGAUAUUGGAGUGCAUCUGAGGCUGUUGUAGAAACACAUGGGUGCUGAUUAUAACAUCGCCGAUGAUUAUAACCCAAGAACAGCUCACCUGACCAGCCUAGCACCCUAAAAUCUCUAACAGGUUCAUUAAACAUGGUCCUGUGAUCUGAUCCAA